rnacentral:rRNA from 1 species
GAUGAACGCUGGCGGCGUGCCUAAUACAUGCAAGUCGAGCGAAGCGGGGACGGGGGAGUAAAACGUGGAUAACCUCCUAUAAGACUGGGAUAACUUCGGGAAACCGGAGAUAAUCCGGCAACUUAUAGCUGGAUCCGCGCUGGAUUAGCUAGUUGGUAAGGUAACUGAUUACCAAGGCAACGAUGCAUAGCCGACCUGAGCGGGUGAUCUGCCACACGGGAACUGAGACACGGGCCAGACUCCUACGGGAGGCAGCAGUAGGGAAUCUUCCGCAAUGGGCGAAAGCCUGACGGAGCAACGCCGCGUGAGUGAUGAAGGCCUUCGGAUCGUAAAACUCUGUUAUUAGGGAAGCGGUACCUAAUCAGAAAGCCACGGCUAACUACGUGCCAGCAGCCGCGGUAAUAC